GAAGACACAGUUACAAGCACAUUUUCAACAUCAAUAUUCCAACUGGGUUCCCUGUAGAUGGGACACUGAUGCAGUUUGCUUCAUCAGACACUGAAUUUUCCCUUUGUGUAUCUAUGCGGUGAGCACAGGUACUGAAUAAACCUCAAAGCUGGAUGAGUGACUACAAUGAAAGUGAUGGAAAAGAUGUCAAUAUUCAAGGGUGAAAAAGGAGAAACAGGCUGGAAAGGUGGAGAGGAAGGGUUUUGCUGUACCCAAGGAAAUGGCUGGAG